GUCUUUUAAUUGAAGGCUUGUAUGAAUGGUUGGAUGAAAAAUAUACUUUCUUUAUUUUAUAUAAAAAAUUUAAUUUUCUAGUCAAAAAGCUAGGAUUUUUUUAUAGGACGAGAAGACCCUAUAGAACUUUAUUUUCUUUUUUUAUAAAUUUUAUAGAUAAAUAUAAGUUUAUAUAUUUUUGUUAAUUUUGUUGGGGUGAUUGAAAAAAUUUUUUAACUUUUUCUAUUUUUUACAUUUAUAUAUGUUUUUUUGAUCCUUUAUUAUGGAAUAAAAGAUUAAGUUACCUUAGGGAUAACAGCGUUAUUUUUUUGGAGAGUUCUUAUCGAUAAAAAAGUUUGCGACCUCGAUGUUGGAUUAAAUUAAGUAAUAGGAGUAGAAUAUUAUUUACUAGGUCUGUUCGACCUUUAAAUUUUUACA
rnacentral:rRNA from 1 species